UACGUAGGGUGCAGGCGUUAAUCGGAAUUACUGGGCGUAAAGCGUGCGCAGGCGGUUUGUUAAGACAGAUGUGAAAUCCCCGGGCUUAACCUGGGAACUGCGUUUGUAACUGGCAAGCUAGAGUGUGGCAGAGGGGGGUGGAAUUCCAAGUGUAGCAGUGAAAUGCGUAGAUAUCAGGAGGAACACCGAUGGCGAAGGCAGCUCGCUGGGACGGUACUGACGCUGAGGCGCGAAAGCGUGGGGAGCAAACAGG
rnacentral:rRNA from 1 species